AAACUACUGUGAGCGAAACUAGUUUCUAUAGCCCCAGAUUUAGAACCAGGGUUAGAUGUAAGUUAGGGAAUAUUUUGACGGUGUUGAUGAAACCUCGUUUCUAUCGAGAUAUUACCAUCUUCUCUUUUAUAUUUGUUUCCAUCGUAUCAUCACUAUUCCUCUCUCCAGUUCAAUUCAGAGAUCCAGUUUAGAAGAAAAAAGAAAUCAAGACAUAAAUCGCCAUGAUCCGAUAGAAGCAAAUCCUAACUAGCAAAUGAUUCAAAACCAUUAUUUCUCUCCAUAUCAAUCAACCGUUUUUUUCAAAACCCAUUUCUUCGGAACCUCUUUUUUUUCCGUUUUCAAUCUUCUUCAGAGGACCUUCAGGUAGAUUUAUUUUCAGGUGGAGUGAAAGUUUGGUCAUAGAAAAGGUAAUGCAUGCAGCUAUGGACCUCCAUAGAGAGUGUGAACUGGCCAGUCUGCUGGCUUAGGGAUGGAGUAAUGGACCUGGUUGGAGAUAGUUUUCAGAAAAUGAAGGCAUAGAUGGUGAAGUCUUACCUUCAACUUAGUGUUGAAUCUUUGAUCUGGUUCUUAUGCUUGUAAUAGAAAUAUCCGAAUAUAGGUUAAGCUUUUCCAACUUAGUGUUGAAGUUUUUCAGACUUGGAACUUGCAGUAAUUUAGAUAGUUGAUAUUGUAAAUUGAAUACAAUUUUCAAUACAACUUGAGUUUUAAAUCAUUAUCAGUUUGAAGUUGUUAUAAUUUAAUUAUGAUUCAGCUUUUA